rnacentral:lncRNA from 1 species
AUGGAUGUCACCGAGGAACAUAACAAGAAGAGAGAAAACAAAGAGAAGCAGAGGUGGAGAAACAGAGUCAGCCUCUCAGCCAGCUUGCCUGAUGAUGUUUGUGGUGUUUUUGCAGGUAGCGAAUGCUUGGUCAAGUACAGCACAGACCCAAUUUUUGAUAUGAGGGAAUCAAUACUAGGGAUGAUCCGGUACGAGGGUGUUUGUGAUUGGAAUGAUAUGAAAGAGUUAGUUUACUGUUAUGUUGCUCUUAACCCACCAGAGGUUCAUGAAAUUGUUAGGGAAGCUUUUCUCAGUUUAUGUUCUAAUUAA